rnacentral:rRNA from 1 species
GACGAACACUGGCGGCGUGCCUAAUACAUGCAAGUCGACCUUAGUGGCGAAUGGGUGAGUAAAACGUGGGUAAUCUGCCCAUCAGACGGGGAUAACACUUGGAAACAGGUGCUAAUACCGUAUAUUGAUGGAUCGACUCGUGUGGCAUUAGCUAGUUGGUGAGGUAACGGCGCACCAAGGCCACGAUGCAUAGCCGGCCUGAGAGGGGGAUCGGCCACAUUGGGACUGAGACACGGCCCAAACUCCUACGGGAGGCAGCAGUAGGGAAUCUUCUGCAAUGGGCGAAAGUCUGACCGAGCAACGCCGCGUGAGUGAAGAAGGUUUUCGGGUCGUAAAACUCUGUUGUUAGAGAAGCGGUAUCUAACCAGAAAGCCACGGCUAACUACGUGCCAGCAGCCGCGGUAAUAC